GGGAAUAGCUCAGUGGUUAGAGCGAUGGUUUUUGCGUGGGUUCGAAUCCCACUCCCA
rnacentral:tRNA from 1 species